rnacentral:rRNA from 1 species
GGUCAAGUUAUUAAGGGCUUACGGUGGAUGCCUUGGGACCAAGGGCCGAUGAAGGGCGCGGCAAGGCUGCGUUAAGCCUCGAUGAGCCGUCUAGCAGGCAUAGUCGGGGAUACCCGAAUGGGGUAACCUAAUCCGGUGUUGAGUCGGAUUAUCCCGGUUUUGUAUCGGGAAGGUAAGCGGGGGAACUGAAACAUCUAAGUACCCCGAGGAAAAGAAAUCAACCGAGAUUCCCCUAGUAGUGGCGAACGAACGGGGAAUAGCCUAAACCAGUACGACUUAGUGGAGUGAGGUCCUAUGUCGUAUCGGGGUUGUAGGGCGCGUUUUAGGUCGCCUCGCCAGACCUGAAGGAGUUACAAAUCUUGUCUCUAGUCGAAGGCACCUGGGAAGGACCGUCAUAGAGGGUGAAAGCCCCGUAGACGAAAGGGACAAGACUCCUAGCGCAUACCCUGAGUACCACGGGGCACGGGAAACCUUGUGGGAAUCUGGGGGGACCACCCUCCAAGGCUAAAUACCCUUGGUCACCGAUAGCGUACCAGUACCGUGAGGGAAAGGUGAAAAGAACCCCUAGCGGGGAGUGAAAUAGAUCUGAAACCGUAAGCCUACAGAAGGUCGUAGCCUCUUCUUUUAUUGGAAGGGGUGGCGGCGUGCCUAUUGAAGAAUGAUCCAGGGACUUAAUGUGUGGAGCGAGGUUAAGGAACUGUAGUUCCGGAGCCGUAGCGAAAGCGAGUCUGAAUAGGGCGCUUAGUUCCAUAUAUUAGACUCGAAACCGGGUGAGCUACCCAUGGCCAGGUUGAAGGUUCGUUAACGCGAACUGGAGGACCGAACCCGUGGCUGGUACAAAAGCUUGGGAUGAGCUGUGGGUAGAGGUGAAAUGCCAAUCGAACUCGGAAAUAGCUAGUUCUCCUCGAAAUGCAUUUAGGUGCAGCCUCGAUCUAUAGGUGGACGGAGGUAGGGCACUGAAUGGGCUAGGGGGCGUGAGCUUACCAAACCCAAUCAAACCACCAAUGCCGUUUAUCCGUUAAUCGGGAGUGAGACCGGCACAGAUAAGUGCGUCGGUCGAAAGGGAAACAGCCCAGACCACCGGCUAAGGCCCCUAAGAAUUGACUAAGUGGGAAAGGAAGUUAGGUUCCCCAAACAACCAGGAGGUUGGCUUAGAAGCAGCCACCCUUUAAAGAGUGCGUAAUAGCUCACUGGUCGAGGAGUCUGGCGCCGAAAAUGUAACGGGGCUUAAGUCAAUCGCCGAAGCCGUGGAUGUGUAGGUACAAGGGAGAAAUCUUCGCAACUCAAGGCGGGCCCAAAGGUGGAAAUCCUUUCCUUCGGGAGAGAAUGGAAGCCUGCGGUGAAACCAGCGGACGCGGAGCCAGACCCUUUGAAUACUGCCUAUGCGUGGUAGAGGAGCGUUCCUCGGGCGGUGAAGGUUAACCGUGAGGUUAGCUGGAGCGCGGGGAAGUGAGAAUCCCGGAAUGAGUAGCGUAAACUAGGGUUAAAAUCCCUGGCGCCGAAAGCCCAAGGUUUCCUACGCAAUGUUUGUCAGCGUAGGGUUAGUCGGUCCUAAGCCGUAGGCAAGAGCCGAAGGCGAUGGAUAGCAGGUUAAUAUUCCUGCACUGCCGUAUUUUCGCUUAAAACCAAGGAGGGAUGCAGGAGGGUAGGUAGAGCAUGCCUAUUGGACAUGGUGUGUCCUCUUUCGUAGACGAGUCGGGGCAGGUAAAUCCACUCCGACGUUAAGUUGAGGAUUGAGGGAAUCGAAGCCUUCGGGCUUACGAAACUCUAUUGAACCCAUACUGACAAGAAAAGCUUCGUGGUUAUGGGAAUAUGGCAACCGUACCGCAAACCGCCACUGGUGGGCUAGGAUAAAAGUCCUAAGGCGUUCGAGCGAACCUUCGUUAAGGAACUAGACAAAAGAGCCCUGUAACUUCGGGAGAAAGGGCCCCCCGGGGGGUGAAACCACUUGCUGGUGGAGCGUUCUGGGGGCGCAGAGAAGAAGGCCGGGCGACUGUUUAACAAAAACACAGGUCUGUGCUAAGGGGAAACCCAACGUAUACAGGCUGACGCCUGCCCAGUGCCGGAAGGUUAACGGGAGGGGUGCAAGCUCCGAACUGAAGCCCCGGUGAACGGCGGCCGUAACUCUAACGGUCUACCAAGCAUCGGCAAGGGCCGGAGGACUUGUCCUCUGGGUCUGAGCUGAUCGGCUUAAGGCCGUUGUAAAAUUUGGCUAUAUGCUGGAAACUCCGAGUAUCCGGCGCUACCGGCUGGUUUAAUCUGAACCAGAAGGUGACAAUGCGUCCGGUGCGGACAAUCAGCAGGAAAGACCUUGGAGAAGAAGCCCCGGUCCGUCCAAGGAUCGAAGUGGACCUCCUCGGAAUCCUCAGAGACUAUACGCCAAACCCCUGACGGAACCAGCGGGAAGAUAUAGUCCGAUCUAUGUGGCGACAUAUAGAGGCCGGCAGAAAUGACCGGCCCCGUCAGUAACUACCUGAGCGCUUCGGCGCUUGAGUGACCUCUGAUGAGUAACAACAUGCCUAAGGUAGCGAAGUCCCUUGUCGGGUAAGUUCCGACCCGCAUGAAUGGUUGAACGACUUGGCCAUUGUCUCGACGAAGGCCUCGGUGAAAUUACGGUGCCCGUGAAGACGCGGGCGACCUGCGGCAGGACAAAAAGACCCCGUGGAGCUUUACUGUAACC